UUAUAUUUCAAAAAGAGUAAGCAAUUUGUACACAUCCAAUUUAGUUUGAAAAUAUUUAAAAAUUUUGAAGCUUUCCAGCAGCGAAUAAAAUCAAAAGGGGACUUUUGCAAUGAAUCUCACCCAUCUGUAUAAUUCCUUUUAUGAUUAAAGCUUUCGCGAGAGUGAUAAAAAGGAGUUGCUUGGGUCAAGUCUCCCCAAAGGGUGUAAACUGUAAAGUACCUUCUUAAAAAACGGACGGCGACCCGGUGGCUUCCGUGGAGUCACAGGCUGGCCCAUGUUCGUUCGGCCUCUUUCAACCUAAGCCCAUCUUCUCUCUUUUUAAUUUUUUAUUACAGCAAAAUUCUCUGCAUCUUCUUUUUUAAGAGCAGAUUCCUUAUUCCAAGGAGGUUUUUUUUUUUUUUUUUUAUGCUUUUAAACUGUGUAAUGUAAUGACCAGCGAAAAACCUGUCUCCGGCCGCCCAAUUUUAGCACCAUGAGAGGCCCAAAACCAGAAUCAAGUUUCAGUUUGAGUGAUUGCGAUGGAGAAUUACUUGAAUUGGGUACAGGCUUUGGGCACCGCCUGGUGUUUCAUGAUGCUGUUGGGUCUCUUGUGUUGCUGCCUCAGCACCAAGCCCCGCCACCACGGCGACGCCGCCGGAGGUAGCUCCAGCUGCUCUUGCGACGCCGGUUACGCAGGUGUUUGAUUCACAAUUUUCAGAUUCUUUUUCUUUUGUUGUGAUGGGAUUAGGAAUCUAGGAGCUGGGGAUUUGCCGAUUUCUUCAAGAUCUGUACAUGGCAACUCGAAUUCGGAGUGAUUUUUCUUUUCUUUUCUUUUACUUUUUGGGUAGCUGCUUAAUGAUGUAUAAUCAGUAUAGAAUUUUCCUUUUCUGUUAUUCAUUCCCCAGAAAUUGAAAAAUGAAAAAAUUGCAUUGUGUUUUUGGCCUUUGAUUGUGCAGUUUAAAAAAGGAAUUGGUUUUGGACUCCGAGGACAGCGCAGCCCCUUAUGAAUAAUUUUUUUUUUUUGGGAAGAGAGCAAAAUUGAUGAGGAACCAACCACCUCCUCCCACCCAACGUUCUUCCAAAUUUUGCUUCAUAAUACUCGAAAAUUCUUGCCAUGUACCACUCAAUUUUUUAUUAGUAGAAACGAGUAAUCCAAACAA